rnacentral:rRNA from 1 species
GACGAACGCUGGCGGCGUGCCUAACACAUGCAAGUCGAACGGGGCGAUUCCUUCGGGGAUCGCUUAGUGGCGAACGGGUGAGUAACGCGUGAGGAACCUGCCUUUCAGUGGGGGACAACAGUUGGAAACGACUGCUAAUACCGCAUAAUGUAGCGAGACCGCAUGAUCUUGCUACCAAAGCUUUAUGUGCUGAAAGAUGGCCUCGCGUCUGAUUAGCUAGUUGGUGGGGUAACGGCCCACCAAGGCGACGAUCAGUAGCCGGUCUGAGAGGAUGAACGGCCACAUUGGGACUGAGAUACGGCCCAG